ACUGAACCAGGGCUGCAGAGAUGGAAAACACAGGCGAGACAACGAAGGGGGGAAGCAGAGCUGCGCGUCCCUGGAGCUGGUGUGUUUUGGGAAAGUUGAAGAGACCACAGAAAGCCAGUUUGGACUGAUACAAAGAACACCAGAAACAGAGGUCAUGGAACAAAACACUCCCAAAGGAACCCUAGACUUAAAAACCCUCCUGAGAGCUGGAGCAAUUUGGAGAUCACAGCGGACCCCGGACAAUCUGGACUCAGGACAAGAACUCCCGUCCACCCCUCCCCCUCUUCUUCUUACAUUACACCCAGGCUUGGCCAACCUCGGGUCGUGUGUGUGUGAGUAUGAAAGAUGUUAACUCCAGGAUCCACUCUACAUGUGGCAGGAAGAGAAGCGAGCAACAGGUCUGACUCUCCCACCAAAGCAAUUACGCCCUGGCUGCUGGGUGUCUGCCAUGAUCCAGGCAAGGUGCUCUGAGACUCACCACACUUAUUUCCAGGUACAACUGCAGCACACAGACAGAAG